GAUGAAGAAACGUAGCGAAAUGCGAUAAGUAGUGUGAAUUGCAGAAUUCAGUGAAUCAUCGAAUCUUUGAACGCACAUUGCGCCUUCUAGUAUUCUGGGAGGCAUGCCUGUUUGAGCGUCAUUAAACCUCUCUCAAGUAUGAUUACUUGGAUGUGAAGGAAGAGUACCUUAAACUUAAGGAGUGUUCUCCUUUGAAAUUGAUUAGCAGAUGGUAAUGUUAUUAAAUCCCUGAUGUUGUAAGAAAUAACAGUGGUUUUGUAGACUAUUAUCUAGCUUUAAAUUAUAAUUUUUAUUAUGGUUGACCUCAAAUCAGGUAAGGAUACCCGCUGAACUUAAGCAUAUCAAUAAGCGGAGGA
rnacentral:misc_RNA from 1 species